rnacentral:rRNA from 1 species
GACGUAGGGCGCGAGCGUUGUCCGGAUUUAUUGGGCGUAAAAAAGCUCGUAGGCGGCUUGUCGCGUCGACUGUGAAAUCCCGCGGCUCAACUGCGGGUCUGCAGUCGAUACGGGCAGGCUAGGGUUCGGUAGGGGAGACUGGAAUUCCUGGUGUAGCGGUGAAAUGCGCAGAUAUCAGGAGGAACACCGGUGGCGAAGGCGGGUCUCUGGGCCGAUACUGACGCUGAGGAGCGAAAGCGUGGGGAGCGAACAGG